GGUUAAGCGACUAAGCGUACACGGUGGAUGCCCUGGCAGUCAGAGGCGAUGAAGGGCGUGCUAAUCUGCGAUAAGCGCCGGUAAGGUGAUAUGAACCGUUAUAACCGGCGAUACCCGAAUGGGGAAACCCAGUGUGACUCGUCACACUAUCAUUAACUGAAUCCAUAGGUUAAUGAGGCGAACCGGGGGAACUGAAACAUCUAAGUACCCCGAGGAAAAGAAAUCAACCGAGAUUCCCCCAGUAGCGGCGAGCGAACGGGGAGGAGCCCAGAGCCUGAAUCAGCAUGUGUGUUAGUGGAAGCGUCUGGAAAGGCGCGCGAUACAGGGUGACAGCCCCGUACACAAAAGCGCAUGUGCUGUGAGCUCGAUGAGUAGGGCGGGACACGUGAUAUCCUGUCUGAAUAUGGGGGGACCAUCCUCCAAGGCUAAAUACUCCUGACUGACCGAUAGUGAACCAGUACCGUGAGGGAAAGGCGAAAAGAACCCCGGCGAGGGGAGUGAAAAAGAACCUGAAACCGUGUACGUACAAGCAGUGGGAGCACCCUUUUGGGUGUGACUGCGUACCUUUUGUAUAAUGGGUCAGCGACUUAUAUUCUGUAGCAAGGUUAACCGAAUAGGGGAGCCG
rnacentral:rRNA from 1 species